ACUUGAAUAGCUUAUUUAGAGUAUAAUAUUGAAGAUAUUAAGGAGAUUUAUUAAUUUUUAAGUA
rnacentral:tRNA from 1 species